rnacentral:rRNA from 1 species
CCUACGGGAGGCAGCAGUGGGGAAUAUUGGUCAAUGGACGAGAGUCUGAACCAGCCAAGUAGCGUGAAGGAUGACUGCCCUAUGGGUUGUAAACUUCUUUUAUAUGGGAAUAAAAUGUUCCACGUGUGGGAUUUUGUAUGUACCAUAUGAAUAAGGAUCGGCUAACUCCGUGCCAGCAGCCGCGGUAAUACGGAGGAUCCGAGCGUUAUCCGGAUUUAUUGGGUUUAAAGGGAGCGUAGAUGGGUUGUUAAGUCAGUUGUGAAAGUUUGCGGCUCAACCGUAGAAUUGCAAUUGAUACUGGCAGGCUUGAGUACAGUAGAGGUAGGCGGAAUUCGUGGUGUAGCGGUGAAAUGCUUAGAUAUCACGAAGAACUCCGAUUGCGAAGGCAGCUUACUAAACUGCCACUGACAUUGAUGCUCGAAAGUGUGGGUAUCGAACAGGAUUAGAUACCCUUGUAGUC